CUAAUACUCCCUCCGUCCGGAAAAGCUUGUCCCAAGCUUGUCCAUCAAAUGGAUGUAUCUAGCACUAACUUGGUGCUAGAUACAUCCAUUUGAGGGACAAGCUUUUUCGGACAGAGGGAGUAGAUA
rnacentral:pre_miRNA from 1 species